CAGCAACAGUCAAGCCAGGAACGUAACCAGGAAGGUGGUGGCGCAGGCACGCCAAACAGCACUGGGCUG